GUUUGAUCCUGGCUCAGGAUGAACGCUAGCGGUAGGCUUAACACAUGCAAGUCGAACGGUAACAGGGGUAGCAAUAUCUGCUGACGAGUGGCGCACGGGUGAGUAACGCGUAUGCAACCUACCUUCUACAGGGGAAUAGCUCUCUGAAAAGAGAAUUAAUACCGCGUAAUACAAUUGAGAGGCAUCUUUUAAUUGUUAAAAUAACAACGGUAGAAGAUGGGCAUGCGUGACAUUAGUUAGUUGGUGAGGUAACGGCUCACCAAGACGAUGAUGUCUAGGGGUUCUAAAAGGAUGAUCCCCCACACUGGUACUGAGACACGGACCAGACUCCUACGGGAGGCAGCAGUGAGGAAUAUUGGUCAAUGGUCGAGAGACUGAACCAGCCAAGCCGCGUGCAGGAUGAAGGCUCUAUGGGUCGUAAACUGCUUUUAUAUGGGAAGAAAAAGGGUUACGUGUAACCCACUGACGGUACCAUACGAAUAAGCAUCGGCUAACUCCGUGCCAGCAGCCGCGGUAAUACGGAGGAUGCAGGCGUUAUCCGGAUUUAUUAGGUUUAAAGGGUGCGUAGGCGGGACAAUAAGUCAGCGGUGAAAUACUACAGCUUAACUGUAGAACUGCCAUUGAUACUGUUGUUCUUGAGUGUAGUUGAGGUAGGCGGAAUGUGUUGUGUAGCGGUGAAAUGCUUAGAUAUGACACAGAACACCAAUUGCGAAGGCAGCUUACUAAACUACUACUGACGCUGAUGCACGAAAGCAUGGGUAGCGAACAGGAUUAGAUACCCUGGUAGUCCAUGCUGUAAACGAUGAUCACUCGUUGUGUGCCGGAAUAGGUACGCGACUAAGCGAAAGCAUUAAGUGAUCCACCUGGGGAGUACGGCGGCAACGCUGAAACUCAAAGGAAUUGACG
rnacentral:rRNA from 1 species